UCCUGGUUAACCCAGGCAGUCUCGUUAGAGUUCCCAGCCGAACUGUUGGCAACUAACGAUAAGGGUUGCGCUCGUUGCGGGACUUAACCCAACACCUCACGGCACGAGCUGACGACAGCCAUGCAGCACCUGUGUAGCAGCCCCGAAGGGACGCAUCAUCUCUGAUGUUGUCUACUACAUGUCAAGCCCAGGUAAGGUUCUUCGCGUUGCAUCGAAUUAAACCACAUGCUCCACUGCUUGUGCGGGUCCCCGUCAAUUCUUUUGAGUUUCACUCUUGCGAGCGUACUCCCCAGGCGGUAUACUUAACGCGUUAGCUCCGGCACAGUCAGGGUUGAGUCCGACUACACCAAGUAUACAUCGUUUACGGCUGGGACUAC
rnacentral:misc_RNA from 1 species